CAGCAAAAAAGACACUACAUUUCUUGGUUUAAAAGUUAGGUGAUACACUUGAUCUUUAAAGACAGGCAAUGAACUUGAUCUUGAAGCUCUCCAA
rnacentral:sRNA from 1 species